AACGUAGGUGGCAAGCGUUAUCCGGAAUUACUGGGCGUAAAGGGUGUGCAGGCGGGGUGGCAAGUGGUGUAUGAAAUAUCCCAGCUUAACUGGGAGGGGUUAUGCCAGACUGCUACUCUAGAGGACGAGAGAGGGGCGUGGAAUUCCGAGUGUAGAGGUGAAAUUCGUAGAUAUUCGGAGGAACACCAGUGGCGAAGGCGGCUCACUGGUCCAUUACUGACGCUGAGGUGCGAAAGCGUGGGGAGCAAACAGG
rnacentral:rRNA from 1 species